CCCCCAACUAAAACCCUACCUAUCACAUAUCCUUUCUGCUCCCCCUGGAUGGUGAGGCCUUCCAUAGGAGGUCAUCAGAGUCUAUCAUAUCCUUUGGGAUAGGGCCUAGGCCCACCUCCAUGUGUCUUGGCUCAGGGAGUAUCCCACUAAGCGGAAUGGGCUCCCAAAGUCCACACCUAUGCUAGGGAUAAGUUCUGAACUACUACAGGAGGUCCCGUAGAUUUCCGAGGUUUCCUCAAUGAAACUCACAUUUCUGGGGUCUGGAUCAGUCCCAUGCUGGUAUCCCAGCUAUCAGUCUGGGGACCCAGAGCUUCCCGUUUUUCAGGUCAGCUGUUUCUGUGGGUUUCACCAGCCUGGUCUGGACUCCUUUGCCCAUCACUCAUCCUUCUCUGCAUCUGGAUUCCAGUUCAGUUCAGUGAUUAGUUGUGGGUGUCUGCUUCUACUUCCACCAGCUGCUGGAUGAAGGCUCAUGUUUGUCUUUUGUGAUUGGGUAACCUUGCUCAGAUGGUUUCUUCUAGUUUUGUUUUCUUUUUUUAGCAGGAUUUUCUUUUCAAAUUGUUUUUUUUUUCUGUUUUUUACUUUUUUGAGAAAUAACGUAAUUUAAAUGUGUAGGGUUGGGGAGAGAUCUGAAAAGAGUAGGUAGAAGGGAAGAAUGUGAACAAAAUAUACUUAGAUUUUAAAAUUGUUUUAAAUAUUAUAAAAUAGUAAAUAGGAAUAUAAAUUGUGAAACCCUAAAAAAAGAGAGAGAACCAUCUUCCUAAAUGACUCUAGCAUGGAUCUACUUGACUGAAAACUGACUCUGGUCAACUCAAUGCAUGAUCCCAACAUGAUCCAAAUACAACCCUUCCUUUAUCAUUUCCCUUAGAUGGUAUGGUAAUAUUAAUAUUACAACAUGAAAUAUAGUACAGCCUUAUAAGUUGCACAGUGUUCAAAAUUUCAACACAUUAAACUUUAGUCUCUUUAAACAUCCAAACUCUUAUUCCAACUUUAAAGGCUCUCAGAAAUACAAAAGUGUCUCUAAUAGAUUUCCAGUCCUGCAACUUUGGGCUCCUAUAAAACAACAACAAUAACAACAACUUUCUUGAACCAAAUUCAUACAAUAAGGACAUCUGUGCAACGAUGUUCAUAGCAGCAUUAUCUGUGCCAGAAACUGGAAGAAGCCUAGAUACCCCUCAACUGAAGAAUGGGUAGAGAAAAUGUGGUACAUUUACACAAUGGAGUACUACUCAGCGGGAAAAAACGAUAGAAUCUUGAAAUUUGCAAGAAAAUGGAUGGAACUAGAAGAAAUCAUUCUGAGCGUGGUAACCCAAUCACCAAAAGACAAACAUGAUAUGUACUCACUGAUAUGUGGAUUUUAGACAUAGAGUAAAGGAUUACCAGCCUACAAACCACACUGCUAGAGAAGCUAUAAACAAGGAGGACCCUAAGAGAGACAUACAUGGUCCCCUGGAGAAGGGGAAAGGGUCAAGAUCCCCUGAGCAAAUUGAGAACAUGGGAAGGGGGAGAGGGAACUGUGAGAAUGAGAAGGGAAGAAGAGGAAGGAUGCAGAGUUCCUGAGGGAGCAGAAAGGUUGAGUUGUUAGACCCCCGGAAAACUCAGGUAUCCAGGGUCCCAGGCCACGACUGUGGUCACUCCAAUCACCAAGGGGAUUCAAGAGCUUGAUGCAAACUGCACGAGGCUUUAUUGUAAUUUAACGAGCUAACCCCAUGUUAGCUCGGGUCUUUCACCCACCCACCAUGGCAGAUGGCUAGCAAAAGAUGGCUCCUAGGGCCUCCCAAGAGAUCUUAUAGGACAGCGUAAGGGGAGUGUCUAGGGGUACGCAUAGGCUCAUGAUUGGUGUGCCUCCAGGCUUGGAGGGCAUGCCCUGUGUUGAUUGGUCAACUGGUUGUUAUGGCCCAUAGGCCCUCUCAGGGUGGUUGCUAUGCUUUGUGCGUCAUUGCUGUGUGCUUGUCCGUAAAGCACACCCAGGGUUGUAAAGCAUAGCGCCACCAGCUAACUUCUGAUUGGUUCCUUGUCACAAGGCAGGCAUCUGACUUUAUAAUGACUAACUUCUAAUUCGUUCCUUAUCACAAGGCAGGCAUUUGACCUCUAAGUGACCAAGGCAAGUUUAUGGCAAGCACGUGUUCGGCUGUUAUGGCUGCCGAAAGGGGAGCAGGUCCCUUCAUUCCCCCAUUUUCUUUUUUGGAAAUUCCAAUCAUGGAAUUGCUGUCUCUCUAGCGCCCCCAUCAGGGAGUGAUAAAUAUUGGCAUCCCCAUGCAAGGGAGUUCCUCCUGACUUAGCAUUUUAACCAGGGAAAAUGGGCAUCAAAUUCUUUCCCAAACUACUUCCUGCUGAUUUUGGGGCGAAGUUAGGGACCCCAGAAGGUUGAAAUGCUAGUCAAAAGAAAAAAAAAGGAAUUUAGGCAAUGGGGAAUCCAUAGGGGCUUUUGGUAGACUCUGUUGCAGAGACAGGGUUUGUCCACAUAAGCUGGACUGGUUCACAUCCAUAGCAAGUCCAGGGCUUGCAGUCUACUUAGAACAGCCUGUAGUCAGCGACUGAUACUCAGAUGUCUGCCAGAAGCAGAAACCUGUUUAAAACAUGUUUAAACUAGGAACAGAGGUUUAAAACUUAAAACUUUUCUGCACUGAAGCCCACAGUGCAGAAAAAGCAGAUAUAUGGAUAUCUGUUCAAACAGCAAGAACAUAUUUAUAACUUUGAGUCCUAGCAAAAACUACAGAUUUGGGCUAUAAGCAUGUACAUUUUUCUUCUGUCCAGAGAGCCAGAUAUGGAUUGGACAGAGGUGCCUUUGGCCUGAUGAAAAGCCCUUUAAGUUUGUACUUAGAUGACAACCAAAAUAAACUUAAAAACCUUGAGCUUGUGCCUGAACAGUAGAUAGUCACUAUUUUGUAAGGGGCCGUGGGCCCAAAACUAUGCGGCUUAAAGCCCACCUUUGUAAGACUUUUAAUGACCUGUAAGUUUGUGGCUUAAAGCCAGCUCUGUGAGCCUCCUGUAACCUGUAAUUAGAUACGGUUUGGCCAAGCGGAACUGCUAACUGCUUCUGUUCCGAGAAAGGGUCUGGAGCUUUUCUGUUCGCUGUUCCAAGAAAGACCACUAGAUGUUCCGGCUGACAAGAAGAAUGUUCCAGUCCCAGCAAAUACCUGAUGUUCCUUCUAUUAUUCCCCCCAAUUCUAUUGUUGCAGGGCUAUUUAAGCCCACUCUAAGCCCCAGUAAAGCGAGACCUUGACAUUGCACAGACGGACUCUUGUCCUUUCUUGCGCCGCUUGGUCUCCAUUCCUCUCUCGCCCUCAUGACUCCUUUAGGUGACAACCCCCUCGAGACCCACAAAUAACCUGGCCUGCUGGACGGGUCAAGUGGCGCCAAACGUGAGGCUCAAGGUACGGUGGUCUCCGGACAGCGCCAAGAGAAGAAGAGGCUAGCCGACCCAAAGUGGAGACACCCUGCAUCGCUCGUGCACCGGUCUGUCUCGAGGUAAGUACUGCUGUCCCAUUAUAGUCAUGGGCAAUUCAGCCUCUAAGGAGGCCCUCUUUAUCAGAGAAGUAAAGAGUAGUCUUAGGGAGAGAGGAAUAAGAGUUAAAAAGAAAGAUAAAAAGGAGUAAAAAUUAAAAAGGAAAAGAUAAAAAGAAAUAAGAGUUAAAAAAAAAGAUUUAGUUCAUUUUUGUUUUAUUAAUAAAGCUUGUCUAUGUUUGAUUUUAAUGGGACCAGACAUAGCUCCCCAGACCUGGGAAAAGGUUGGGAGAGAUUUAGGUAAGAUGUAGGAGUUAAACCCCCCCAAAAAAAUGUUCCUGAAGUUAUUCUUAAUUAUUGGGCUCUUCUCAGGGACAUCAUUCAGAGCCCUGAACUUGUUGGUGAGAGGUCUUGCCUCUUGCUGACUGUUAAGGACUUCCUUCAGAAGUCGCGACCAUUGUCAUGUACAGAAGCCAAUGACUGACCUUCCCCCAUUCCCUCAGCCUGUGCUCUCACCCUCCCGGGGCUCUGCAUACUUGCAAGCCACGGAGGACUCACUGGUCUGCUCGUUGCUGGCAGCAUUUCUUAGAGGCGGUCAAGCUUGAAGGCUGCAACUUACAGCCUUGGGAGAUGCCACCAUGGUUGAUGGCUAAUUAAUGUAUAUAAAUGCUAUUAAUACAGGCAGACAGAAACUGUUUUUGAGACUUAUAGAAAAAAAAGGCAACAUAUUUAAGCUUAGAAUUGUUCAAAUUUUGGAUGCUCAUAUUUCAAUGAUUGACUAUAAGCUACUAUGUUAAAAAUUUCAAUUAGGAUUUUUCUUCUCUACAAGCUGAUCAUAGCCUAGGCAAAAGGAGAAAUGUGAGACGUAUGCAAGUUAUGAAUGAACGGUGUGGCCACACCUGGAUGCGUGAUGUGAUUGUGAAUUUAUGAAUGUGAAUGAAUGGAAAUGCCUAAAUUGCCUUGGAUAUGAUUAGAGAUAUUUACAUUGCCUUGGAUAUUGUUUAAAAAAUAUCAAAAUCACUUUAAUAGAGUCAAAAAGAGCAUCCAGUUAAUGAGUCAAUGUCUUAACAGGAAAAAUUAUGAUUUGAGCCCUAGGAGAUAGUCAAUUAAAAAGUUAGCAAAAGUUUAUAGCAUUAGCUUAGAGAUAUGAGGAAUCUAUGAUACUAUAAAAUUUGGCAGAUGAGAGGAUGUAGGUCUUACUAAAAUUUUAUGGUUAAAAAAGGACAUCUAAAAAAUAAGGGUUGAUACAUGAUUUUGAGAAGGAUUUAUGAGAAGCCUCAAAAAAGAACCAACCUGUUAGAUUCACAGCUUGGCAGGUCAGCUAACAUGCAAGUGAGGUCUUAUCAGCUUGUCAGCCUCAAAGAUUAGGUUAGAAAAGGCUACUCAAAAACUCUAAAUAAAUCUAGAGAACUGUUAAAGACAUAUGUUAUAUUCUAAAGAAAUUAGGGCUUAAUAGAUAACAAUUAGAAAAGAUAAUUUAAAAAUCUUUUAAAUGAGUUUUUUAGAAAUUGUUAUAAAAUAUUCAUUGGUUAAGUAUUUUUUGAACAUCUAAUGAUGAUUUAAAUCCUUUAAGUAAAAUUCUAUAAGGAGAUAAUGAUCCAGAUAUACCUAAACAACUAACUAGAAAGGUAGACAAGUUCAUAUCUCUCACUCCCUGAUGGGGACGCUGGAGAGACAACAAUUCCAUGAUUACUCUAUGCUGCCCUAAAAGAGGAGUGCUGUUUCUAUGUUAACCAUUCUGGAGUUAUUAGGGAUUCCAUGGCCAAGCUCAGAGAAAGACUCAACCAUCGGUGAAAGGAUCAGGAGUUCCAACAAGGCUGGUUUAAAGGAAUCUCCACCCUCUUAGGACCCCUACUUAUUCUUUUACUGCUGCUUACUUUUGGGCUAUACAUUCUUAAUCACCUACUCUGAUUUAUUAAAGAAUGCUUAUCCAUAACCCAAGCCCUAGUUCUUAAUCAGCAAUAUCAGGCUCUCAGGCCUGGGUGAAACGCCUGCCUCCGUACUUCUGUAGCAGUGGCCAGGCAGGACCAUGGGUUUUAGGAUUAAAACCUUACAAAAAAAGAUGGGGGAAUAAAAUAUUUUAGUUUGCUGAGAGAAAAAAUUUUAAAAGAUUUUAGUUCACAGAGAGAAAAAGUUUCCCACAGGCCUUGGCCCGUUACAAGGGGGUUGACCCCAACCCUGGGCACAUCCUAUGGUUUAGACAGGGGCAAUCGCCAAAACAAUCCUCUUUGGGCCACACCUGGCUGGCCAACAAACAAUCAAGGACUUCCCAGGGUACAUUCUAUGGUUUUUCCUUUGUAGAGAAGCAAGUCACACCUGGGUGACCACUCUAACAUGAGAUCAUACUUUGUAAUCAAUCACUUCAUGUUCCUUGCCUGUAUGCUGAUCUGUGGUUUUUUCCUAUAUAAGGAGCCUGUAACCCUUGCUGGGGUGUGCAUCUUCCCCGAUAUUGCUGACACCCGAAUGCGCAUUCGUUCAAUGUUUUAGAAAGUAUUUUAGAAGAGAACCAAGUAUGAUACAUGUCUCCUACUCUAAGCAACAGUUUAAUAGAUGGUUUCAGAACAAUGAUUUAUGGGCGAUUGUCUUUGCUCAGUUUUCAGGAAGAAUUAAUAAUCAGUUUCUAGCUCAUGAACUGUUACAAUUUGCACUAUUGCAUCUUUUGUAUUUCCAAAAUUAUAAAAAGCAGUCCUAUAAAAAUAUGCUAUGUUAAUUUUUUACCAGUGGUUCUAUUGGGAGAGUCACUUAUAUAGGUUAUUAAUAAAAAAUAAAAAAAUAGAUAGAGCAGACAGUUCUGGUUUCAGCUCAAAUAAUUAAACUGCAAGCUGUUAUAAUGGUCUUUUAAAUCCUGGUAAAUAAUUCAUAUAAUUUAUAUACUGACAGUCAUUAUGUCUUCAAGGAUCUUAUGGCAAUAGGGACAAUUCCAUACAUAGGAUCCAAUAUUAGAUUAAUUUGAGCAAAUUCAAAAUGUUAUUCACCUAAGAGAAUUAUCAUGUUUAUGGGUCACAUUGGGAACCUAUUAAAUAGGCCUUUCACUGAUUACUGGCCAAAUGGAAUGAAUUAACUGAUUAACAAAAUCAGUUGAUUUGCCUCAAAUAGAAAAAGCUUGACAGGCUUGUAACUUUCUUCAUAAUAGCAAAAGUCUAAGUAAGAAAUUUGGCUUAACCAGAGAGACUGCUGGUCAAAUCAUCAAACAAUGUAAAAUAGGUCCACAAUAUGGCUAUGGCUAAUUUAAGGAUGAAUCCUCAAGGCCUGCUCCCCAACCAUUUAUGGCGAAUGGAUGUGACUCACAUUACAGAGUUUGGCAAGUUAAAAAUGUGCCACUCCACAAACAGGAGAAGCCACCAGGCAUGUUAUAAGUCACUGUUUAAGAUGUUUUGCUUACAUGGGAAUGCCAAAAGUUAUAAAAACAGAUAAUGGGUCUGGAUAUACUAACAAAGCUUUCCAGCAAUUUUGUGCUUAAUUCCUGAGACCGGUGCUACCGGGACAGCCCUUGUGGCCUAGUCCCGCCCAGCGUGCGUGGACCUGCCUGCCGAGCCUGUAGCAGCUCGGGAUGGCUGGGCCUUUGGGGACGCAGCAUGCCGCUGACUUGGGGGAGUGAAACGCCUGCCUCCGUGCUUCUGUAGCAGUGGCCAGACAUGAGGCUAGCCCACAAGCCAG
rnacentral:lncRNA from 1 species